GCUGCGCAGAGCCCCUCAGUCAGCAGGACCGCGCUCACGGUUCAGUGCGCCGUCUGCUAGAGGCUUUCCGCAGUUCAGUCCUUCUCCCCACACAACUCUGAAGGUAAGAUGUCUAUUAUCACACCGUCCCACUUUACAGUGAGGAAACGGAGGUCCAGGGAGGUGAAGGCUCUGGCCCAAUCACAGACUAGUGAGGGAUAGAGCCCGGAUUUGGACCCAGGCAGUCGGACCCCAAGUCCAUACCCUGGGCCUCACGCUGGAUUGUUCCAGAUCCCACACCAGCUCCCGCAGGUCCUCGCCAGUGUCAGCCCUCAGCAGGCUCCCCCCGCCCAUUGUGCUCCACUCACCCCGCCUCCCCCUGCAGGCAGGGCACAUGCGCACCUGCAGACCUUUGGCAUCUCCCCUCCCCUCGCCACCUGGCUGAAUUGUCCCCUUCACCCCUCUGAGCCUCCCUCCUCCUCAAGGACACCCCGGCCUCCUGAUCUAGAGGAUGGAGCACCGGGAGAAAGCACAGGUGUGUUUCUCCCUGGCUGCUGCUGGUCUCCCCAGUUGGUCUAUAUGACCCAGGAAGUCAUGUCCAGGUCUGUGUCCUCUGCCGUCGUGUAUGCUGGCAAAGCAUGAUACCAGCACACAGGAGGGGAAGUCAGUAUCCUCGUGAUGGGCAGAACGGAUGAGCAUCGAUGCAGAGGUGCUGGGAGGACAGCCCGUGGCCCAAAUGAGAGCUUGGUGAUCUACCACUGCCCCAUGGAGGGGGCACCUGCCAGUCAAUCUGGAGAGGGGCGUGUGCUGGCAAAAGAGGGUGCCCCUGAGCUAAAGCCCUGGUAGGAGGGUGGAGGAGAGGGAAAGGACUCAAGAAGGACUUCUGAGUGGGCGAUACACUGGAAGUGGGGAGUGAGGAGACUGAAGCAUCCAAGGUGGUGCCCGGGUGGCAGGCUGGUGUGCUGGGAUGGAAAUGAAGAGAAGACACGGGGCUGCCCUCAGAAGGGGUGGUGGCUGGGAAGAGGAAAAGCAGUCAGCCCUAAGUACUUAAAGUAUCUGGCAAUUUAUAGCAAGUGUCAUUAAAGGGGAAAAAGUUGUGGGGAGAAGAAUGUUUUUGGAAUUUGUGACCUCCACACGGGCUGAGGCAUUUCUCCUUGAGGUGCCUGCUCUGGCCACCUGAGCAGGCCCCGACUCACAGAAGAUGGAGGAGACACCAAAAUGCUCUCUCUUCUUCCUAAAAUGCAUAGGCCUGACUCAGGGCAGGGGAAGUCGUCGGGAAAAACCACGCUCAUGGCUCUGCCAUUGUCUCCGUGUGUGCAGACAUCAGCUACCCUCACUGGGCCUGAGAUAUUCAUCUCUCCAAUAAGCUUAGAUCAGAAAGGCCAUCUUGCA
rnacentral:lncRNA from 1 species